rnacentral:tRNA from 1 species
GCACCCGUAGCUCAGCUGGAUAGAGCGCUGCCCUCCGAAGGCAGAGGUCGAAGGUUCAAAUCCUUUCGGGUGCGCCA